rnacentral:rRNA from 1 species
UACGAAGGGGGCUAGCGUUGUUCGGAAUUACUGGGCGUAAAGCGCACGUAGGCGGAUAUUUAAGUCAGGGGUGAAAUCCCAGAGCUCAACUCUGGAACUGCCUUUGAUACUGGGUAUCUUGAGUAUGGAAGAGGUAAGUGGAAUUGCGAGUGUAGAGGUGAAAUUCGUAGAUAUUCGCAGGAACACCAGUGGCGAAGGCGGCUUACUGGUCCAUAACUGACGCUGAGGUGCGAAAGCGUGGGAGCAACAGG